rnacentral:misc_RNA from 1 species
CCAAGAUAUACUGAUAGAAAUUUUAAAUCACAUGAUCAUUUUCCAGUUUUCAACUGCAUGUGUAAAAAUUGCCCUACAAUGACCAACUAUCAUCUAUAAGCUGGGCAUUUCCAUCCAUGGAAUUACCCAUACUUCAUUAUCCAUUACAUCAUGCAAUAUGCAGUGCUGAAUUACAAAUUGGGUAAAAUAUGCUAAAAACUUCUAAUAACCAAAUCAACUGCAUGUUCAGUUGUUAAUAUAUUAUAUACUCAGCCAUCAAGGCUUGUUGCAUUUUCUGCAUAUUUUAGGUGACAUUGACAGUAGAAAUCAAAAUCCUAAUGCAGUGAGAAAUAAUCGCACUAACAAGGACUAGUGUGUGCAUCAGAGAUCUUGUAUUCACAAAAUUUCAGGAGGCUUUUGCCCAUAACAAUGAUCACUACCAACGUCAUCUGCAACUGUAACAAACACAUGCACUAACCUAAUGGGGCGCAAAAAAGAAACAGGCCCCUCUGCACAUGUGCAGGGAAACCAGGCCACAAGUAAAAAUCACUGGAGAGAUGAGACCCUGUACACAUACCUAUAUUCUGUCUCCAUCUUCCAAAAGCCCUAGACAAGUGGUAAUUUACAUGAUUUCCCCAAAUUUUGAUAAAAAAAAAAAAUUAAAAAGGGAAAAAAAAUGGCCAGUAGACAUCUCUCUAAUAAAUUUUAACAAAAUCUGCAUAUAACAAUCACCGCCUCUUUCCCUUUUGGCUUUUGCAAUGCCCUUGUGGAGUAGUCAGCCUCAUCUGUACAUCGCUGCUAUAAGGGCAUGCAAACCAAAGUCUUAGCAGCACCGACUGCUUCUGGAACUGCUCAAUCUGUUAGAUUGCUUUAUUCCAGCUGAGAAUUGGUGGACCUGAUAUACAUACUUCCUUGUGCUGAUUGAAGAUGCUGCGUUUGCUGCUGAGAGUGCUGUUGCAGUGGCAGCUGUUGCCGUGGCAGCUGCUGUUCCUGUUGUGGCUGCUGCUCUUGUGGCUGAAAAAGUUGUUGAGAACAAGGUGGUUGUGGUGGUGGCGGCAGCUGCGUUGAUUGUGAUAAUUGUAGCUGCUGCUGCCACUGUGCUCCAGCAUUCCCAUGUUGGGGCAAGCCUCCUGAUAACUGCCUCUGGCCUAAACCCUGGUUGACAGAUGCCACUGCCUCACUUCCAGAUGAAUUUGUAAGAGCUGGGCUCCCAAUAGAACCCACUUGAGAGGCUGGAGGAUUUUUCAUUGCAGAAUCACAAGAAGGCUCAGAUGGUUUCCACUGAGAAGCAACAGAAUAUGAAGCAACCACAUUAGCUGAAUCAUUACAGGCCUGAGAAAUUGAUGUGGUUGUACUUGUGCCUAGCUGCGAAACAUUGCUUAUUGGCUGCUGUUCUGUAUGACUCUGAUCAGUUUGAGACUUGGCUGGCAGAUUAGAAUUCAACAGACGGUUCUGUUGAAGAAUUCUCUGAACAGUUGGUUGAGCUUGACCAGUCUGCUUCUGGUGCGUUUGUGGCUGUGGCUGUGACUGCAUAUGCUGAUGGUUGGAAGCCAUAAUGGCUGCUGGAAGAACUUGAUGAGCAGCAGAUAGAGCAUGACCAGAUGGCAGUGACGAAACCUGACCUUGGGUAUUAUUAUCAGAAUGGGAAGGCAUCUGCUGCAUUUGAUUUGAAGAAGGUGAUGCUGUGGCAGAAAAUAGCUUUUGCUGUGGCUGAGACUGGUUUGAGGAUUGAGGAGCAACCAAUGGUUUAGCUGCUUGCAUUGAACUCAAGCCAGUACCUGAAUAUAAGCCUUGACCUUGCAUCAAGUGCAUGAUGUGUUCUCCUUUCUCUGCACUUUGAUUUCCUGAAGGCACGGAUAGGCCAUUCAAAUGAGAAUGAUCAAUGGGAAGGUUCUGAUGCACAACCAUAUUCCCUCUACCCAUUCCCUUCAAAAGUUUAGCUUGUUGGGGAGAUUGCGAGUGCUGUCGCUGCUGAGGAUGGAUCCGGCCAGACUGUUGAAACUGCUGUUGCUGCUGUGGCUGCCGCGGUCUUUGUUUUCCCAUCUGAUUGUUCAACCCAGUGGCAACAGUUUGAGAGUUCCGGCUGAUCCCAUUAUGUGGCAAAGCAUGUUUCUGCUGCUGCUGUACUGAUAUGGAAGUCAUUGGGGAAGAUGAUGUUAACGGGGGAAGUGAUACUGGCUGUGAUGAAGUUUGUGGUUGAUUCUGGGAGCUAUUCUGCAUAGAUGAAGAUAUAGGGAGCUGGGGUUGAGAUUGGACAUGUGGCAUCAAAGUGCCAGAUGAAGCAAACUGCUGUUGUUGUUGCUGCUGCUGCUGUGGUUGUAGCUGCUGUUGCUGCUGCUGUUGUAACAGCUGAUGCUGGAGGUGAGAAGACUUGUUGACCAUGUGAUUACCCAGCUGCAUAUUAGAACUCUGACCAAGUGUGUUCAAGUGAGAGAGUGGAUUAGAUGGAAGCACCAUUGGUGACCUCUGGAACUGUGAAUGCUGUUGAAUCAAGGAAUGCUGAUUUUGCUGCUGCUGCUGUUGUGGUUGCUGCUGCAGCUGUGGUGGUGGUUGCUGCUGAAGCAAUGGUUGUGGGUCUAGCUGAUGUGGUCUUGUAGGCAUUGGAACUGUAGACAAGAGACCUUGGGACAUUGGCAAGGCUUGAGCAUUUCCAGGAGGCAGCAUCCUAGUAUUUGCUAAUAGAUUCUGGGAUGGAUUAAGGGAUGCAUUACCACUAAGACUUGGCUUUACUUCAUUGGAUGCCUGAACUGGAACUGCUUCAUUGUACUGUUGCACCUCGACUGCUGUAUUACUAAGAGGGAUUCCAGCAGCAUUUGGAUGACUACUUGAGGCAAUAUUCAUGCGGAUAGGCUUUGGUUGAAUAGUAUCUUCUGCAAUAUACCCUUCAUGUUCCAUCAGUGAGCAAAAUUGUGCUGCAAGCAAAUCUGCAAAGUGCUGCAACAGAAAUUAGUCAGAUAUGCAAAACAGAACAUGAGGAAUAUUGUCAGGAUAAUCAAAGAUUAAUAUGCAUUCUUUUUUUUUUUUUUUCCUUAAGCCAGUAUUCUAAAAUUUUCUUCAUGAUAUAUUGCAGAGAAGACCUCAUCACACACAAGAAGAGAGAGAGGCCACUAUCGUAGGGAAGAAUUACUUUGAUUAAAAUGUAGCUUGCAAGUCAAAUAAAGAGUUGGAUUCAUCUAGAUUAAAUUUCCAUUGUGUCAAACAAAUCUAAUCUGCGUAGCAAACUCACAGUAUUGGGCAAUGUUGGAAGAUAAUCCUCCACAGACAGGAAAUCACCAUCCUCUGGUUCUCCAUAAUGCAUUGCUACAGUACCAUCACUUGGCUUCUCUAACAUGAUCAUUCUAGUACAUAACUUAGGAAUGUAAGAACCAACAUUCCCUGGCUGCAAAAAAGUUAUAAUUCUCAUCUUGCAGACAUUCAUGCUGCCACCUACAAUUGACUUUGAUAAUUGUCUUGCACUAGCAUCAUCCUUCACAUCCUCACUAUUGGGUAAACUAGAGAGAUAACCCAUAAGAUUUUGAUGUGAAUAUGUGUUGGGUUUCCUGACAGAGUAGUCAUCAAUCUUAUUUUUCUUGCAGUUGAGUUGAUGCCUCAUAGUCACCACCUCAAUCUUUGAGAACCUUUCAAGCAUGGAUUGAUCAGCCAUAGGUGGAGUUCCAACUGAAGGACUAGCUGCAUUUAAUGGAACACUUAUGUUACUAACACUUGCAGGAGAGCCAAUCCCACUCAUCAUUGGAGUUCUUGGGAGGGAAUUAGAUCUUCGCUUUGCUGCAACCUGGGCCUGAUGUUGUUGUCUUUGCAAGGAAUCAUUAGCAUUGGAAGUCAAAGAUGGGGUUCCACCAACAGUAGGAACUGAGGUGACAGCUGACUUCUCCUUUUGUGAUGAUCCAACUGCAGCAUUGGCUGCAACCGAUCCAAAGUGGGGACCGGCAGAGCCGCUAGAAAAUUCCCCGGAUUUUGAUGAUAAUGGUGAUUGAGGCAAAGCCCCAGCAGACAACCGGGGACUCUGCACUGGUUUCCUCUUCUGGAGUUGUUCCUCCUUCCUUGACUCUUGGCUGAGAUUGCUCCAUGCUGACUGAGAGAAAUUUGAUCUCAUGUGAUGAGAUGGUAAUCUUUGCUGUAGCCGUGACUGCUGUGGAUCCAGAUGGCCUGUUUCUGAAUCUGUUACAUCACUUUUACCCUGACUUAGCUCUGAGCCAUCCAGCUUUCCUGUCUCAAACUGUUCUUCCUUGGGACCAAACCUUACACCUGGCUGUGCCGCAGAAAUCGAUGUUGGCACACUAUUUUGAUUCAUAACCCCUUCAAACAUCUGCUGGGGAUAUUUCUGAAUGCCUGCAUUAGCAUAAUGAAUUCCUCUUGCCAUUGCUUGGUGCUGUGAUAAAGAAAUCUUCCAGUUCACAUCGGAUGCAUGAAGGCUGUCCAUAUGGAGGCCUAUCUGCUGCUGUUGAAUUCCAUCAGGACCCACUGGGGCAAGCCUUGCUCUCUUAUUAAAACUGGAUAAGGGUGAAAUUUGCCCAUCUUGAUUCUCCCUCUUACCAUGAAGUGAAGCACCAGAAUUCAUAUUGUCGCCAUAUGAGAUCAUCAUGUCCUGCCCAGCAGGGGAAGCUCCUGAAAUAUUAACAUGAGUCCCUGUCCCUAGCUCCUGCAUACUUCUAGGGGUGCCCACCCCCAUCUGAUACCUUGUUUGCUGUGAAACCAAUGGUAGUGCUGGAACAUUGCCAUCAGGUGCAAAACUUCUUGCUCCUAGGGCUAACAUGUUGCUUGGGCCAAGGUUUUGAGCAGUCAGAUUCUCUGGGACACUCUGUGGCAUCAUAUUGCCAGAAAUAAUUACUGAAUCUCCUAACCUGCUGCUUGAGCUUUCUGGCACUCGAUCUAUACAAACUUUCUUCCCAUGGAUUCUGCUAUCAGAUGUUACAGUAACUUCAGGCAUCUGUCUCAAUCUUUUUCUCCGCAAGUUGCUCAGACCCAAAUUGAGCUUUGUGGAAGUUGGGUCAUUACAUAGCCUAUCCAAUUUGGGAGUAGGAUCUAGAAGAAGAUGUGGUUGCAAGGCUUUCAAUAUUCGGGAUUCCACUUCCAUGAAAUCACCGUAAGUCCAAGAAUGAUCUGAGAUCAAAGGGAUAUCCUUCACUACAUUCUCCAAUGACAUCCUAAGGCGCACUCUAUUUACAACAGGGAUCCCGUCCCUGGGUGGAAUACUAGACCCUUGCUCAGAAACACAUUUUCGAUAAUCUCGAACCUCACAUAUGAGUGUACCAUUAACAUAUUUGCAUGGCAUAUCAUCCAGAAUAUCUCCAGGCAACCAACCAGACUCAACUGCCAAAAAGAGAGUUUCAGAUGUCUUAUCGUAUGGAUGCAACAACUUUGAAGCAUCUUGAAGUACAGCCUGAUGUGCAGCCUCAUUCUCUGAAGGCUUUCCAAUAGAAUAUCCAUCAAGGUAGAGGUUCAACGUGAAUGAAACUUCAUGCUCAGAGAUGGUUGAACUUGAAACACCGGAAACAUCCUCACUGCCCUCAACUAAGUCAACCUCGAGCUGUCUCGUAGAGGAUUCAUUCUUCGAGCCAAUCACAGAGCGCUCCUUGGAAUUCUCCGAAAUCUCAUCAAGAGCAGGCUCUGGUAGAAUAACCGGUUUUGGAUGGUACCUAGUGCCAGUUUUUGAGACCUUAAAAGAUACCCCCAUUUAAACACUUCUUCCUCCGGCGAACUAAAGGUCUUAUGUUGGUGUUUGGACAAAGAGAAAUGAAGGAAAAUACCAGCAGGCCCAAUGAAGAGGAAGAUUAUUUGAACAUGAAAAAGCCUUUUCAGAGAUAAAAAGAAACACCCAAGUAGAAUUCUUUGAGAAUUUGAGGCUGUAAAGAGCUUAAUUGAGAUAUCUAGUCGGCGGAUUUCCGUUUCUUUUCCUCACUUCUCGACGAAAUUGAGGUUUUAUACGGUGUUUGGAUGCCAAUAAAACGAGGAAAACCAGAGAAGCUAUAAUAUCAGUAUCUUAGGAACCUCAAUUGAGAAACCAACAUCAGCUUUUUUGAUAAAUUUGAGAUUUUUAACAUUGACGGGAGAACCUGGUUUUGAAACCAUAAACAAAGAAGUGAUGAGAGGCUUCUCUGAAAAAGAUUGAGGCUAUGAGAUGGUGUUUGGACGCUGAGAAAGUGAAGGGCGCGUGUGGGAUCGAUAAAAUCUAAGUUAGGAAGAAGGAAGGGACUCGCAGGCACUAAAGUGAAGAUUUUGCAGAGCUUAAAGGAGAGAGAUUCUCCAUUGGAUUUGUGGGUUUGGACCUGUUUCUG